GGGUGUUAGCUCAGUUGGUUAGAGCGCCGGCCUGUCACGCCGGAGGUCGCGAGUUCAAGUCUCGUACAU
rnacentral:tRNA from 1 species